UGUCUUAUAAAAGACUUCAGGGAAUGCUGCAUGACUAUUAAAAAUUCAGUAAACUCUAUGCACCAUCUUUAUCUUCAAGGCCAUAACACGGUACAGUUAGAGAUUAUGCGUUGAAAUAUUUUAGUUGAUAUUUUAGAUUGUAAAAUGCUAUUGAUUUUAUCUAUUGAUUUUUAUCUAUUGAUUUGUUUUACCUUGUGGGCUUAUAGCCGAAUAAAGUAUUAUCUAUCUA